UAUUAUGACCAAAUGAUCAACACUGUUACAUAGUGCCAUUUACUUUGUGUUCUUCACUCUCGCGUUGUGUUUUGAUCGUUCGAAACUCAUUGCCAGAACGAAUGCAAAUUUCAUUUGGGAAGGAUCGGUGCCGGAAGAUGCAGUGAAAAUUAUAAAAUGUUUAUAGAAAAGUGGUUAAGUAAAUCGUGAAAGAUGUCAACGCAGGCGUAAAUGCAGUUUGUUUUGUUACUUGAUCUACGGCAAUUUCAUUACCAAAGCACCUGAUAACCGAUCAAAGAAGGUGAAUCGGGCUUACAGAGUCGCCGUUUAACUUCAAAUAUCUUCGUGAUCGGCAAGCGCAUCAAACAGCAAGUGUUUUUCUUCCAACAGCACGCGCCAUCGGUGGAGCAAGCAGCCAACGUUUCGUUCGUCUAGCACGCACCAUCAAGAAUUGAAAUAUUCCCGAAUAGCUCUGUGAAUAAAAAACUGCACACUUACUGUCCGAAU